ensembl:lncRNA
GCUGCUUUGCCUUCCUCUCAGUGAGCAGAAUAGGGGUCGCAAAAUGGUGCAGGACCCCAUUUGUGCUGAAAGGAGAAGCACAUAUUGAGCACAAGGCUCUCUGCUGGAGCGUCCCAGCUUUAACCCGCCAUUUUGGGAUGAACCCAAACCCAAAUGACGGGAUAUUUAUUCUAACCAAUCAUAAGGGAUGUAUUACUUAACAAUAGAGGGCUCGAUCUGGCAGAAGAAGAGAGAACAAUCAGAAUCUAAUCGAGGUGGAUUAAUCGGCACAGACCCUCUGGUUGGCUCUACGGUGUGUUUUGUGAAGAGCACAGUUACGUGUGUACAGUGUAUAUCUGCCGUAUGUUGUUUAAUAUCAUACCAUGUCAUGAUCAUGAAUUUGUGACGAUUAUCCGUUAUCCUUUUACAAAGAUUUUUAUAAAGCCGCCCUUCGUCCUCUCAGAACGACCGCUCCGUUUAAAAUCUAAUGAAGAUGAAUGUAAAUGUUCUAUAUCUAGAAAAUAAUCCAACAUAUGUGAAUUUUGUUUUUUUUUACUAUGUCAUCGUUUGGAGAAUCUGGCCCAUCUCCUCUUUGGUUUUUUUCCACUCAUGGUUUGAAAAUCUGCUGCUUUGUGUGCUUCGGGAGGGCCGGUGAAUCUGCAUGUUGUUAGUGUGGCGCUGUAAAGGUCCGAUGCCUUGUUCCUGUACAUACUGAGGAGCUGUAAACUGUACGUAAACGACGACGCUGAUUUUUAAGUCUGAUUUUGUUAACGUGACCAAUAAACUUUCUGUUUUUGCUGUUGUUUUUAAUUCCCGUGUGCUGAUGUGUCUGACUGAUCUCUGGCUGUUUCUCUAUUAUUAUUUUUUUUAUUCUUCAGCUGAGCCUUAAGUGCUUUUAAGAGGCUGCAGGUUCGAUUCCUCCAUCAGUGAAGUUUCCUGUCGAAGCCUUUUUGGGUGACGACGCUGUAAACACCUGCAGCUGCUGACUUGUUUGCAUUUGACUCUUUGCUGAUUCAGAUGUAACUGACUCCAUGUUUCUGUUUUUGACAAGAGGGAAAGUGGCUCUAGUGGCUUCAUGAAGCUAAAGCAUGCUAAUCUCACCAUGCUAACAUGCUCACAGGUCAGCUAACGUUCUGAUGUUCAGCAGGUGUAAUGUUUACCAUGUUCAACUAGGGGUGGGUAUUGGCAAGAACCUCACGAUACAACACGUAUCACGAUACUUUGGUCACGAUACGAUACGUAUCACGAUAUUGCGAUAUAGAUAAAGAUGAAAACACAAGUACCUGUAUAUGUACAUAAGAUAAUAUUGAUCAGAGGACAAACUGAGUCAAAACUAUUUCAUUCAAAACAGCCUCUCCAUUUUAUUAAUUCCCAUGAAAUUUCCGGGCAGUAAUAUUCUCUUUGUCCGGCUCGUUGUUCUUGCUAUCUCUCUUAACUUUGAAGCCAAAGUGCUUCCAAACGUCAGCUUAAAAUUGCGGAGGCGUUGUUAACUUGCCAUCCAUUUUGCAAAGACCUCAGCCACUCUCUCUACUACAGAAAUACACCCGCCGCACAGCAGAGUCGCUCUUCGGCGAUAUAUCGAUAUUUGGAGUUGAAAAUCGAUAUUGUAUUGGGCGGCAAAGUAUCGCGAUAUAUUGCCGUAUCAAUAUUUUUGCCCACCCCUAUGUUCAACACAGUGAACUGCUGAGGUUAAUGAAAAUGUUGUUGUUGUCAAGAUGAUCAUAAAUAAAUUCAGAUGA